rnacentral:rRNA from 1 species
UUCCGGUUGAUCCUGCCGGAGGCCAUUGCUAUCGGAGUCCGAUUUAGCCAUGCUAGUCGCACGAGUUCAGACUCGUGGCGGAAAGCUCAGUAACACGUGGCCAAACUACCCUACGGAUCGGGAUAACCUCGGGAAACUGAGGCUAAUACCGAAUACGGCUCCCACGCUGGAGUGCGGGGAGCUGGAAACGUUCCGGCGCCGUAGGAUGUGGCUGCGGCCGAUUAGGUAGACGGUGGGGUAACGGCCCACCGUGCCUAUAAUCGGUACGGGUCAUGAGAGUGAGAGCCCGGAGACGGUAUCUGAGACAAGAUACCGGGCCCUACGGGGCGCAGCAGGCGCGAAACCUUUACACUGCACGACAGUGCGAUAGGGGGACUCCGAGUGCGAGGGCAUACAGUCCUCGCUUUUCUGUACCGUAAGGUGGUACAGGAACAAGUGCUGGGCAAGACCGGUGCCAGCCGCCGCGGUAAUACCGGCAGCACGAGUGAUGGCCGAUAUUAUUGGGCCUAAAGCGUCCGUAGCUGGCCGAACAAGUCCGUUGGGAAAUCGACGCGCCCAACGCGUCGGCGUCCAGCGGAAACUGUUCGGCUUGGGGCCGGAGGACUCGAGGGGUACGUCCGGGGUAGGAGUGAAAUCCCGUAAUCCUGGACGGACCACCGGUGGCGAAAGCGCCUCGAGAGGACGGACCCGACAGUGAGGGACGAAAGCCAGGGUCUCGAACCGGAUUAGAUACCCGGGUAGUCCUGGCCGUAAACGAUGUCCGCUAGGUGUGGCGCAGGCUACGAGCCUGCGCUGUGCCGUAGGGAAGCCGUGAAGCGGACCGCCUGGGAAGUACGUCUGCAAGGAUGAAACUUAAAGGAAUUGGCGGGGGAGCACUACAACCGGAGGAGCCUGCGGUUUAAUUGGACUCAACGCCGGA